CAUUCCCACACCUUUCGAUGCUGCAAAAGCAUACAAAAAUGGGAGGGAGACAAGGAGGAAGAAUUGGUGUUUCGAUAUCGUCGAGGGUUUUCUGGGAUUCCUGUUCCUUGCAGAGAGAGAGGUGGGAGAAUUCGAUGGCGUCUUCUGGGUUCCCGUCCCUUGCCGAGAGGGAGAUGGGAGAUGUAUGGGGUGAAGGAGAGGCUUUUCUUCCAUUUCUGCGAUGCUGCAAAACCAUACAAAAUAGGAGGGAGACAAAGAGGAAGAAGAAGGAGAAGAAGUUGAACCCUUGAACUGGGAAAAGGAACGAACUUGUAGAGGCGAUUGAAUUGGGUUUGAAGAUUUGAGGGUUUUUUGGCGCCUGUUGCAGAGAGAGUUUAGGGGGUGGGUCUAGGGUUUGCAAAGAGCGAUUCAAGUGAGGGGCUAGGGCUAGAGGGAUGGGGGCUCCAUCUCUGUUCUCGCUUGCUGAAACUUUCCGCUCUUCAGCCCCGGCCGCAGGUGCAUGAAGGCGACGUGGUCCUGGUCGACGGUGUCUCCCUUUACAGUUCUGGACGAAGGUUCUGAACCUCUGGCGAUUCCGACUGAGAGAGAGGUCAAUAACAACAAGAGUAAAUCUGGGGUUCUGUACACAAUAAAAUAUGGAAUUUAGCCAAGAAAUUUCAACAACAAAGUUUAAACUUUUUGAUAUGGCAAAACACAGAUUCUCUUGUUUCUCAAAACCCUCAAAUUUGUCAGAUGGUCAGCUCCGGCCACAGUUGUGUGAAGGUGACAUGGUCCUGGUCGACGGUUCGGAAGCUGUGGCGAUUCUGACUGAGAAAGAGGUCAAUAACAACAAGGUAAUGAAAUUCAAUGUUUUGUGUUUGAUAUAGAGGCAUAUUUGCAACUUUGUAUCAGAUAAUAUUUCUGGAUAGUCUGUCCAGAUAGCUUAGAAUGUUUCUGCUCUUCUGCUUGGUGGGUUUUGUUUGUUUUUUUCAGAAGAUAUGUGCAAUUCUGUCUAUUGUUCCUGAAAUGUUUGUGUCUCAAUGAUGAUUUCCUGAUUCAGAAGGCUUACCUGCA